AAAAUUUUAAAUUUUAUUAAGAAGUUUUAAAGAAAAUAUAAAUAUAAGAAUAAAUAACAUAUAUGUUAAGGAUUGAAAUGCUCAACAUUGUAAAGAUGUUAAAUUUUCCAUGAAUUGAUCUGUAGAUUUAAUGUAAGGUAAGCAAAUUUCCACCAGGUUAUUUUAAAUGUGAUAAGCUGAUUCUAAAAUGAAUAGGAGUUCAGUGGGGCUGGGGCUGGGGCUGGGGCUCAGCAGUAGAGUGCUCGCCUAGCAUGUUCAAGAUGCUGGGUUCAAUCCUCAGCACCACAUAAAAAUAAAUAAAUAAAAUAAAGGUAUUGUGUCCAACUACAACUAAAAACAAUAUUUAAAAAAACUAAAAACAAUAUUUUAAAAAAAGGACUCAGCCAGAUUACCCUUGAAAAAGGAUAAAGGGAAUGAUAUUUCUUCUAAGAUAUCAACAUCUAUCAUAUUGCUACUCUAAUUAAACAAGAUAGUGCCCUGGCAGAAGGAUAGACAAAUACACUAUUGUGUAAAACAGAAAGCCAGGAAACAAAUCUAUGUCUGUAUAAUUUUUAAAUUUUUUUUAGCGUAUUAUAGUCCUAAGUAAUAUUGGGGUUCAUUUUGACAUAACAUACAUGUGUGGAAUUUAAUUUGUUCCAUUUCAGUCCCCAAUGCUUCCUCUUUCCCUCCUUCACUCCCUCCCAUUAGUUUGAAAUAUAACAGAGAUGACAUUACAAAGUAGUAGGAAAGGGGAAAUACUGGGGAAUGAUAUUGACCAAAUCAUAUUGUUGUAGCAUGUGCAUGUAUGAAUAUGUAACAAUGAAUCCCACUAUUAGGUAUGAUUAUAAUACACCAAUUUAAAAAUAAGAAAUGACAAAAAAAGAAACAUAAGUCAUGGGAAAAUGCUGGAAUUUUCAGUAAAUAAGGCUGGAAUAGAAUGUGUGAAAAAUCAAUUCCAGUAGAAUUAAAGACCUAAGUAUGAAAAACAAAGCUAUAAUUUUUUGAAACUAAUGUUGUUUUUGAAACUAAUGCAAUUUAAAAAUCUUUAGGAAAGAGAAGAAAUUAUAAAAGAAAAUACAAAACAUACUAUCCAUGAAAGAAAAGAUUGGUCAAAUUUACUUAAUUAAAAUUAAGAAAUUGCAUAAAACAUAAAAUGAAAAUUCACAAUGUGGGAGAAAACAUUUAUAACAGAUUAAACCAUUAUGGAACUAGUACCUAAAAUAUAUAAACUAUCUGUAUAAAUCAAUAUGAAAAACAUAAAAACCCAAAAGAAAAAUGGACAAAAGACUUAAACAAACAUUUGUUCAUCCCUCUAAAUUAAAAUGUUUUGUAAACAAAAGAAAAAGAUGCUUAACUUGUUAAUAAUGAGGGCAAUGAAUAUUAAAAAGACACUGAGAUGCUAUUAUACUAUUUUAGGGGUGGGGUCGGUACUGGAGAUAUAACCCAAGGAUGCUUUACCAAUGAGAUACAUUCCUACCCCCAAACCUUUUUAUUUUUUAUUUUUUUAUUCUGGGACAGAUUCUCAC
rnacentral:lncRNA from 1 species